UACGUAGGGCGCAAGCGUUGUCCGGAAUUAUUGGGCGUAAAGAGCUCGUAGGCGGCUUGUCACGUCGGGUGUGAAAGCCCGGGGCUUAACCCCGGGUCUGCAUUCGAUACGGGCUAGCUAGAGUGUGGUAGGGGAGAUCGAAUUCCUGGUGUAGCGGUGAAAUGCGCAGAUAUCAGGAGGAACACCGGUGGCGAAGGCGGAUCUCUGGGCCAUUACUGACACUGAGGAGCGAAGGCGUGGGGAGCGAACAGG
rnacentral:rRNA from 1 species